UACGUAGGGUCCGAGCGUUAAUCGGAAUACUGGGCGUAAAGCGUGCGCAGGCGGCUUUGCAAGACAGAUGUGAAAUCCCCGGGCUCAACCUGGGAACUGCAUUUGUGACUGCAUGGCUAGAGUGCGGCAGAGGGGGAUGGAAUUCCGCGUGUAGCAGUGAAAUGGCGUAGAUAUGCGGAGGAACACCGAUGGCGAAGGCAAUCCCCUGGGGCCUGCACUGACGCUCAUGCACGAAAGCGUGGGGAGCAACAGG
rnacentral:rRNA from 1 species